rnacentral:rRNA from 1 species
AACGCUAGCUACAGGCUUAACACAUGCAAGUCGAGGGGCAUCAGGAAGAAAGCUUGCUUUCUUUGCUGGCGACCGGCGCACGGGUGAGUAACACGUAUCCAACCUGCCCUUUACUCGGGGAUAGCCUUUCGAAAGAAAGAUUAAUACCCGAUGGCAUAAUGAUUCCGCAUGGUUUCAUUAUUAAAGGAUUCCGGUAAAGGAUGGGGAUGCGUUCCAUUAGGUUGUUGGUGAGGUAACGGCCCACCAAGCCUUCGAUGGAUAGGGGUUCUGAGAGGAAGGUCCCCCACAUUGGAACUGAGACACGGUCCAAACUCCUACGGGAGGCAGCAGUGAGGAAUAUUGGUCAAUGGGCGCUAGCCUGAACCAGCCAAGUAGCGUGAAGGAUGAAGGCUCUAUGGGUCGUAAACUUCUUUUAUAUAAGAAUAAAGUGCAGUAUGUAUACUGUUUUGUAUGUAUUAUAUGAAUAAGGAUCGGCUAACUCCGUGCCAGCAGCCGCGGUAAUACGGAGGAUCCGAGCGUUAUCCGGAUUUAUUGGGUUUAAAGGGAGCGUAGGUGGACUGGUAAGUCAGUUGUGAAAGUUUGCGGCUCAACCGUAAAAUUGCAGUUGAUACUGUCAGUCUUGAGUACAGUAGAGGUGGGCGGAAUUCGUGGUGUAGCGGUGAAAUGCUUAGAUAUCACGAAGAACUCCGAUUG